AUUUAAAUCUGCCACCGCUAUUGGCUAAGAGGUACCCUAGCACGUUAGCUGGUAACAUAUGAUAUCACAAUGUCUUUGUGAGCCUGUGUGUGUGUGUAUUUGUUAGCGGCUCCGCCCUCUCGGUCUGCUAGGCAACAGCAUUUGUUGCAUUUUUCAAACAGGAAGUGGGAGUUGAGUAAGAAUCUGGUAGGGGGUGACUUGCUCUUUAAUGUCUGCUAGCUGGAUAGGAUCUUGACAGGAAAGGAGCUUUCUACAGACCUUAACAAUAAUAUUAAAAAUUCCGUUAACAUGUGUUACAUUCAGAAAGGCAGUGCUACAGGUGGCAGUAACGUUUGUAAGUGGUCACAAUUAAUAAACUGCUAAUAAAAUAUGAAAGGUGUCCAACAAAAUCUAAUGUUCCAUAAAACUGUGAAUUAUUAAUACUGUUGGACCUUUAAUAUCCGAUUGACUCUGGAAAUGGGUUGGGUAGCCAGGGAACCAACACCUAUCAAUAAUUUGACACAGAAGCAAAAAUAUAGUAUAUAAAAAUCUAUUUAUUACUAUGUUUCUACGACUAAUGAUUAUACAGAAUAACUGAAGGUAAAUGAUUAUUCAAGAUAAUAUCAACUCAAUAACCAAACUAAUAAAACAUGAUUGUGGAUGUUACCAAUAAUCUAAACAAGUGUUUUAGGAAAGAUGUGAAGUCUGGAAUUACAAGAAUAAUCUGGCUGAAUUUAGUGAUGUUUGAUCAGUGAGUCAUAACCCAUCCAGUCUUCUGAAGGAGUUGUCUUGUGACUUGCAGCAGAGAUAAGGAAGCAUGGUUCCCCCAGAUGGUGAGGUCAUAAACAGAGCAUUUGUUUUGGUUUGGUUUGCACACGGUUGACCUUUAGGCCUGCACUGCCUUUCCUAGCGCUACACACGUGUUACACAUAAAACUUCCCUCAGACGCUUAAACCUCACAAUAAAUCCUCCAUUACAGUAUGUCUCCACUCAAACAAGCUAUAACUCCUGUUGAUGCACACGUGCUGACAGGAAGACGGUAACAGCUCACCAGAUUAAACUCUGAUAACAUGAACAGAUCUUAAUGUGACCUCGAGGGGCGGAUACCUCUUAUAGAUGCAUUAAAGCAAGGAGAAAACAGUCUGUGAUAUUUCAGUCGAAAGGUUUUAAUGUCAACCAUGCAAUUUCACAACGAGGAAACGGAGUCUUUCCGAAGCAAUCUCAGGCAUGUGUCCUGUUUGUGAACAUCUAACUGUCCCUCUUACAGACUAAACCUGCAACCUUCCAAUUACUGGACAACCCGCUCAACCUCCUGAGCUUCUGCUGUCCCAUCUGUUGGAAUGUCUCUGCAAAAUAUUCUAUAUAAACCCAUUUUAUGCACGUCUGGUAAAGAUGUCCUCCUGCAGCAGGUUACUGCAGCUCCUGAGGAUUCACUGCUUUCUUCAUCAUCUGAUCUCCUGCCCUGGUGUCUGAGUCUCUCAUCCUCCUAGACUUGAUGCACAACCGCAUCUGCACCACCAAAUUUGAAGGUUUAAGGGAGGAGAAGUUGCUGCUCUGCAGAGCGAAAGACCUCCUUUCCCUGAAUGAGUGAAGGUGACGCAGACCUGAUCCACCGCCUCGUCCAGAAUGUGCUGCGUGUCCUCCAUCAGCUCCUCCA